AUUCAACUGACGAGUCCGUAAUAGGACGAAACGCGCAUCAACUUGUAU
rnacentral:hammerhead_ribozyme from 1 species